rnacentral:lncRNA from 1 species
CUAGUCUACAUAAAUGGGAUCCUUCGUAUGUAAUACAAGAAGAUGUUUGGUUGGAGGGAGUGGAGGUCUGGAAUCGAAAACGGAAUCGGAAUGGGUGACUCCCAUUUCAAUCGUUUGGUUGGGAGGAGUUUCAUUCCGAUUUCGAUUCCAGGAUGGAAUGAGAAUGGCUCAAUCUAUAGAGAAUUGAAUCCCUACUCUCUUCUAUGGAUUCAAAUUUUUAUUCCGAUUCCGAUUCUGAUCACGAACCAAAUGCUUCGGAGGAUUUGACUAUUCCAAUUCCGAUUCCAAACUAUUUCGAUUC